UCUGGAAGGGAAGGAGGACCCCGUCAACGACCCGGCCCGGCGGGCCGUCCGGAUGCGCCCGGGACGCGGGCAGGAGGCCGCUCCGUGCCCGCUCACUCGGCCCCAGGUGCUCCCCUGGCACCGUCCGCGGGGGGUUGAGCGGCACCCCGGCCCCAGCGCCCGCGAGCGUCUCCAGGCACCUCCCCGUGUCCCCCGGGGACGGUCACCCCUGGGUGAGAACGUCUGAUCUGGAGCGACGGGGGCCUCUGGGAGGACAGUGAAGUCCCCGACACGUUCUGUCUGCUGCGGCAGCCACUGGCCACGGGAGGCUCCGAGGCCUUUACCCGUGGCUCCUGUGGCCGAGGAGCCAAACCCAGGCCUUCUGUUUCGGUUCAAGUAAUUUAGAAAGCUGCACGCGGCCGGCAGUUCCUGCGCAGGACAGCUCAGUACCCGAGAUUUUCGUGUAUCUUACAACGAACAGACGUUUGUGACGUCACACGUGCCUCUAACACACGUCACUGGGACACCUCCCGCGUCGGAAGACUUUCCGGAAGAGUCCCCGCGCGCAGACCCUUCCCGCCUGGCGUUCUCGGUGGCGCCCAAGACCAGGAGACGCUGGUCGUCACCAGAACGAAUAGAGGAUGCGGGACUGGG